GACCACCACAGUGACUUGCAAGCAACUCACUGCACUUAGGCACUGGAUUACCUGAAUUUCUAAUUCAGUGACGGAAGGCUGCUGGGUGUAGUCAAGUACUUGACUUAUCGGUGCGUGUGUCAAGAUGGGAUUGACCACUCCAGUUCAGGAGCUGUGUACAGUCGUAUUUCAAUUUAGCAAAAUCUUGGUCAGGGUAGUCCUAGUGAGGAGUCAC
rnacentral:lncRNA from 1 species